GACGAACGCUGGCGGCGUGCCUAAUACAUGCAAGUAGAACGCUGAAGGAGGAGCUUGCUCUUCUGGAUGAGUUGCGAACGGGUGAGUAACGCGUAGGUAACCUGCCUGGUAGCGGGGGAUAACUAUUGGAAACGAUAGCUAAUACCGCAUAAGAGUAGAUGUUGCAUGACAUUUACUUAAAAGGUGCAAUUGCAUCACUACCAGAUGGACCUGCGUUGUAUUAGCUAGUUGGUGGGGUAACGGCUUACCAAGGCGACGAUACAUAGCCGACCUGAGAGGGUGAUCGGCCACACUGGGACUGAGACACGGCCCAGACUCCUACGGGAGGCAGCAGUAGGGAAUCUUCGGCAAUGGACGGAAGUCUGACCGAGCAACGCCGCGUGAGUGAAGAAGGUUUUCGGAUCGUAAAGCUCUGUUGUAAGGGAAGAACGAGUGUGAGAGUGGAAAGUUCAAACUGUGACGGUAUUUUACCAGAAAGGGACGGCUAACUACGG
rnacentral:rRNA from 1 species